GGCAAGCCGCUUGGGUCCCCUUCCAUGUUGUGGAAGCUUUGUUCUUUCACUCUUCACAAUAAAUCUUGCUGCUGCUCACUCUUUGGCUCUGCACCACCUUUAUGAGCUAUAACACUCACCACGAAGGUCUGCAGCUUCACUCCUGAGGCCAGCAAGACCACAAACUCACCGGAAGGAACAAACAACCCCAAACGCACCGCCUUUAAGAGCUGUAACACUCACCGCAAAGGUCUGCAGCUUAAUUCCUGAAGUCAGCGAGACCACGAACCCACCAGAAGGAAGAAACUCUGGACACAUCUGAACAUAUGAAGGAACAAACUCUGGACACACCAUCUUUAAGAACUGUAACACUCACUGCGAGGGUCCACGGCUUCAUUCUUGAAGUCAGCGAGACCAAGAACCCAGUAAUUCCGGACACAUUUUGGUGACCACGAAGGGACUAUCGCCUAUCACCAAGCAGUAAGACUAUCACCAAGCAGUGAGACCACUGCCUAUCGCCAAGCGAAUCGAGGCCAUCAAGCUACAGAUGGUCUUACAAAUGGAACCCCAAAUGAGCUCAAUUAACAGCUUCUACCAAGGACCCCUGGACUGACCUGCUGGGCCCUUCCACUAGCCUAAAGAGUUCCCUUCUGGAGGAGACUACAACUGCAGGGCCGCUUCUUCGCCCCUAUCCAGCAGGAAGUAGCUACAGUGGUCAUCAGCCAAAUUCCCAACAGCAGUUGGGGUGUCCUGUUUAGAGGGGGGAUUGAGAGGUGACAACGUGCUAGCAGCCCUUGCUCGCUCUCGGUGCCUCCUCGGCCUCAGCAUCUGCUCUGGCCACGCUUGAGGAACCCUUCAACCUGCCGCUGUGCUGUGGGGGCCCCUCUCUGGGGCUGGCUGAGGCCGGAGCCAGCUCUCUCUGCUUGU
rnacentral:lncRNA from 1 species